rnacentral:rRNA from 1 species
AAGAGAGGAGGGGGGGGUAAAAGGCCUAUCAAACUUGCAGGUAGCUGAUUUUUUGCCAAAUCUAUUUAAGUAGAUGGGACUCUUCCUUAACUUUGAGGAUGUAGAGCACUUGCU